UACGUAGGUGGCGAGCGUUGUCCGGAUUUACUGGGCGUAAAGGAUGCGUAGGCGGAUAUUUAAGUGAGAUGUGAAAUACCCGGGCUUAACUUGGGUGCUGCAUUUCAAACUGGAUAUCUAGAGUGCGGGAGAGGAGAAUGGAAUUCCUAGUGUAGCGGUGAAAUGCGUAGAGAUUAGGAAGAACACCAGUGGCGAAGGCGAUUCUCUGGACCGUAACUGACGCUGAGGCAUGAAAGCGGGGGUAGCAAACAGG
rnacentral:rRNA from 1 species